rnacentral:rRNA from 1 species
UACAGAGGUCUCAAGCGUUGUUCGGAUUCAUUGGCGUAAAGGGUGCGUAGGUGGCGCCGUAAGUCAGGUGUGAAAUUUCGGAGCUUAACUCCGAAACUGCAUUUGAUACUGCGGUGCUUGAGGACUGGAGAGGAGACUGGAAUUCACGGUGUAGCAGUGAAAUGCGUAGAUAUCGUGAGGAAGACCAGUGGCGAAGGCGGGUCUCUGGGACGGUACUGACGCUGAGACGCGAAAGCGUGGGGAGCGAACAGG